UACGUAGGGUGCGAGCGUUGUCCGGAAUUACUGGGCGUAAAGAGCUCGUCGGUGCUUUGUCGCGUUGUCCGUGAAAACUCACAACUCAAUUGUGGGCGUGCGGGCGAUACGGGCAGACUGGAGUACUGCAGGGGAGACUGGAAUUCCUGGUGUAGCGGUGGAAUGCGCAGAUAUCAGGAGGAACACCGGUGGCGAAGGCGGGUCUCUGGGCAGUAACUGACGCUGAGGAGCGAAAGCGUGGGGAGCGAACAGG
rnacentral:rRNA from 1 species